rnacentral:lncRNA from 1 species
AUGAAAAUAAGAAGACAGAGAUGAGAGAGAGACUAGAGUGAGAGAGAGAAGAACCGGAAGAAGAUUGGAACGGCGACGAACCGCCGUCUGGUGGCGGCGGUGGUGUUUAUCCGACGAGUUUCAUGGUGCCGGCGGUGGAGUGUGGUGAGCCGACGACGAUCGUUGAGAAGAUGACGAUGCGGUGGUGGGUCCAGAACGACGGUGGUAGUGGUGAUAUUUGAAUGUUGGGACAGGUUUGAUUCGGGAGCUUUUUGGUUUGGUCCGGGAUGUAUCAACUCAACAGGAAGUACCGACUCAAGUUUUCGUUUCGAGCUCACAAGAGAAACACACGAGUAGUUCGGUUCCGUCAAGUCAGGUCACGGCUUAUCGGGUCAGAUUUGGUGCUCGGUCAACUCCAGUCAACAAAAGUCAGCGGUCAACGGCUCGGUCAACCGAGUCAACUCGGGUCAACCAGUCAACAUCAGGUCAAACGCGGUCAACUCAAACCCG